ACAUUUAUUUUUGGUUUCAGCUCUUUAAAGUCCAGUCGCGCUCUAAAUUUAUUGCAAGAUUAAUUUGUUUUUAAAAGUUGCAAAGACUCAUUCAAGAAUAUCGCUAUCCAAGAAAACACAAACAGUGAUGAUCUCACGAUAGUUAAUUGGAGGAAGGACGGUCAAUAAUAACUUUAAAUGCGCGUCACUACUUGUUUACUCAGUAGAAAACAUUUUCUUUUAAGACUCUCGGUUAGUUUGUUCAUUCGACAAGAGGACGUUUUUUUCCCGUUUCAGCACAUUUCAAGGCUUUAAAUACGGAAUCUUCACGAUGGCUCAUCGCGUACUACAGUUAUGCGUGAGACGGUACGUUUCUGUAUUUCUUCUCUCUGCCAUCAUCAACACGGUCUGCUCCGUCACCCUUUAUUCUGUUCCCGAGGAAAUGGAGGAAGGAUCUGUUGUCGGUAAUUUUGCAACUGAUUUGGAAUUAGACGUGAAGACUCUGAAUGAAAGAGAAAUGCGCGUCGACGCUGUAGGCAACAAAAAAUAUCUAGACAUCAACAAGGACACGGGAGAGCUCUUUAUUUUGGAAAGGAUAGAUAGAGAGUUUUUAUGCCCGUCAAAAACCACCACAUCUUGCUUUCUUAGAUUAGAGGCUAUAAUUGAAAAGCCAAUACGAAUAUUUGAUAUUGAGGUCGAAAUUAUGGAUAUUAAUGAUAACGCUCCUCAUUUUCGACGGGGGACAGUGAUAUUGGACAUCUCUGAAUCAACUUCCACUGGAGAGAGAUUCUCUCUGAGUAACGCUGCAGAUCCAGAUAUUGGAACGAAUUCUGUGAAAAAUUACCAUCUGAGCUCAAGUGAACAUUUCUCCAUUGACAUUCAGACCGGAAGAGAUGGGACGAAGUUUGCAGAUUUGAUUUUGAAAAAAGCUUUAGACAGAGAGCAGCAGGCUGUUCAUAAUCUAAUACUGACUGCUGUGGACGGUGGAGAUCCCACGCGCACAGGUACAGCCAGCAUCAUUGUUCGCGUGCUUGAUGUGAACGACAACACCCCUUCAUUUGACAAAGACAAAUACGUCGUAGAGGUGAUGGAAAACUCCCCGAUUGGAAGUCUAGUAAUCAAACUAAACGCCACUGAUUUAGAUGAAGGGUCCAAUUCUGACAUUGUUUAUUCAUAUAGUUUGUAUACAUCAGAGAAAACACAGGAUAUGUUUAACCUGAAUCCAGAAAAUGGUGAGAUCAGAGUGAAAGAGAUGAUUAAUUACGAAGACGUUAAACUUUUUGAAAUGGAGGUUAUUGCCAGUGAUAAGGGGCCUAACACCUUAUCUGGACAGUGUAAACUGACAAUACAGGUGACAGAUAUGAAUGAUAAUCACCCAGAAUUAUCUAUUGAAUCAUCCCACAGUCUAGUUGUUGAAAACAUAGAAUUGGACACAGUGAUAGCUGUAGUUAGUGUGAGUGAUAAGGACUCAGGUGAUAAUGGAGUGGUUGAUCUUCAUAUUCCAGAUAAUAUGCCUUUCAAACUGAGAAAAUCCUCUGAUAACUAUUAUGAAUUAGUGGUGUCAGAGCCGUUAGACCGUGAGAAGGUUCCAGAAUAUGACGUGACCUUCACUGUGACAGACAGAGGUUCUCCUCCUUUAUCUGACAAUGAAACUAUGACUUUAGAGCUGCUGGAUGUUAAUGACAAUGUUCCACAGUUCCCUCAGUCAUUUUAUACUAUACGUGUGAUGGAGAAUAACGCACCUGGGGCCUUGCUGGGUUCACUCACUGCCUUUGACCCUGACCUCCAUGAAAACCAGUAUCUAGUUUAUUUCAUCCUAGAGAAGGAGAUAGCCAACACCUCUAUGUCCAUGUUGUUCUCCAUCAAUCCAGAGAACGGUAAUCUUUACGCUCUAAAAACCUUUGACUAUGAGAUCGAGAAGGAGUUUCUCUUCCACAUCGAGGCCAGAGACUCUGGCUCUCCUCCACUCAGCAGUAACGUGACCGUCCACAUCAUUAUUGUGGACCAGAAUGACAAUGCUCCGGUUAUUGUCUCUCCGUGGCGCGCGCACGGCUCAGUGGUGGAGGAAAAGAUCCCCAGAUCCACAGAUAAAGGCUCUCUGGUUGCCAAGGUGAUAGCAUUAGACAUAGACUCGGUGCACAACUCUCGGAUCACCUACCAGUUUCUACAGGUGACUGACGCCACCUUGUUCAGUCUGGACCAGUACAACGGAGAGAUCCGGACUAUGAGGAUGUUCAGUUACAGAGAUCCGCGCCACCAGAGACUGGUUGUUGUUGCCAAGGACAACGGGGAGCCUGCUCUGUCUGCUACAGUCACCAUUAAGCUGUCCACAGUGGAGACUGCCGUUAAGGCUGACAUGACGUAGGUGCCUCUAGAGUAUGACAUCUUGUCAGACCUAAACCUGUAUUUGGUGAUCGGUCUGGGCUCAGUCUCAUUUCUCCUGCUCAUCACCAUACUGAUCAUCAUCGUGCUCAAGUGCAGGCACCAGGGCUCAAGGGCUCCAGAUACAAUGUGUCAAGUACCAUUGACAGAGACUAGAGACUCAGCAGCUUCAACUCCACAGUACCCUAAAUGAGGGAAGUCCACUCUGCAGUUGGAGGCAUCCACCACCAGCAGCAGCAGUUCCACAUAAGGCCACACCUCCAGCUGCACACUGGAUCUAUGCUGACAGGAAAGCUUCACAGAGGAAAAGAAAAACCCCUGCCCCCACCCCCACCUCCCAGUGUCCAUCCUGCUCGGUCUGGUCCCUGUCCCUCACAGUGUGUAGUUGUCAUGCUUCAACACCAAACGGACUAUGGUGGCUAAUCAAAGACACAACCCUCCCCCUCUCUUUCUUUAAGCACAUAAAAAGCCAAUCAACAAUGCCUCUCUGUCCAUUCAAUAUGCAUGAUAAGACAGCAUGGCUUCAAACACACUCCAAGACCUUCAUACAAAAAAAGAGCAAAAUUCAAGAGGAGAUACUCGUAAAGAAGCAGACUGUAUAAAAAAAUUGCACCAGUGGAUAUUCUAAGAAGCCACAACAAGGACUAAUAGAGUGGACACAGGAAUGUUAAAUGCCUUUAAGAGACUGUUUUCCCUCUCUAAAAAAGAAACACAUGUUGGAUAUUACAUUUUUAACCUCUGUGCUUUGUCAUGCUCCAUAACAGCAUUGAUGUAUUCAGUUAACCGAGAAGUUUAACAGCACAAUUAACUAAAUGUGAGAAAAGCACCAAUCUACGAUUUUCAAGUGUGAAACUAAAGGGAAUCAGUAUUUUAUAAAUGUGGUAGCUUUUAGUGGUUUUUGGUUUUGUACUUUGUGCUUUAUAUGUGAGCUAGGCCUAAAUGUAUGAAUGAGAGUGCUAAGAGAUUACGUUUACAAGUACAUCAAACCGAUAAGAGCGAGGCCUUUAGCCAUUAUGUGUCUGCCUUUCUGUUGUUUUUGCAUGGAAUAAUCAAAGUACUUUGAUAGUUUUAAAUAUUUAAUGAUAUUGAGCAAUCCAUGUUCUGCAGUUAGGCAUCACUGUUAAGUCUUUUUCAAAACAAGGUGGAAGAUUACUUUUCUAAUGGGACCACAAUAAGAAGUACAGCAGUGUAAGACUUUAUUAUUACCAAGUCCUAAGGUGUUUGGGGGGGCAACAGAUCUGUAAUCUCAUUCUUUCUUCCUAGUUUCUAGGCAAGAGGAAAAUAGCUAGCAGCAGUGGACAGAUUUAUAAGCGUCUAGAAAGUAAAGUGUACAGUGUGCUUGAAUGUUACAUGCACUUGGACACUACUGGAGAAUAUGUGAGUCUAGGUGAUAAAGGUAAACCAAGUGAACACAGUGAGUCUCUAAGAAUGGAUUGGUUAAUAUCUCAUUAUGACUAUUGUAUACAGAACACAAACAUGAUCAUGUAUUUUCACUUUUUUUUUUUAAUUUUUAAACCCAAACUCUGGAUGAUGUUCCUUAACUGUAAUAUCUUCUGAGAUUGUGUGAUAAGUUGAAAACUCUGAACUGAACAUGAAGACUUAAUGUUUACGUUACAAUACUGAAUCAACAUAGCUGUGAUUGAUUUCACUCAAUGAAAGUUGUGCUCAUGUGUAUUACUGACUACUUUGUGUACCUGCAUAUGCAACGCAGAAAUAGGGAUACAGAUAUGACUGACAUGUACAGUAUAUCAUAUGUCUGUAUCUAUACAUAUGCCUUUCCAUUCCAGUACCAAUGCUGAACUUGAACAAAAGCAGUGUAACUCAUGUGCCAUCAGAUUUAUGGGCCAGCUAAUAUGUGAAACAGCAAAUCAAUCAGACAUUACGUAGUCAAACUCUUUAGCACAGCUAACAUUGCAUUACCUGUAUAAAGUUCUAAUGUGUUACAGGCAAACAUAUACAGUAAGUGCUUUUGUACAAUAGUACUUUUAUGGUGCAGUAUGUGGUAACUUGUGUAAUGUAAGCCCAUUGUAUGCUAUAGUCUGGUCUGUAUGAUCUAUUAAAUACAAAAACCAAAUAC